UACGGAGGGUGCAAGCGUUAUCCGGAUUCACUGGGUUUAAAGGGUGUGUAGGCGGCUAUUUAAGUCAGUGGUGAAAUCUCCGGGCUCAACCCGGAAACUGCCAUUGAUACUAUUUAUCUUGAAUAUCGUUGAGGUAGGCGGAAUAUGUCAUGUAGCGGUGAAAUGCUUAGAGAUGACAUAGAACACCAAUUGCGAAGGCAGCUUACUAAACGAUCAUUGACGCUGAGGCACGAAAGCGUGGGGAUCAAACAGG
rnacentral:rRNA from 1 species